rnacentral:lncRNA from 1 species
CUCAACUAUAGAGUUAUAUGGCAGCUUACGGAAUUGAUGAGAGGGCCGGGGAAACAAGCUUGUUAGCCAUUCAGUCAUAGGCCAGUCCACUCCCCACAGUUGGCUCCAUCAUGACCACUGCACAUUCCGACAUGCUGCUGCUGAAGACAUGAUCCCCAGCAACUAGGCUGUCAGAGGACCUUCCCAGCUGUUCACCCACUGACGACCACCCUGAGAGAGAAUGCACCAUGUCCAUCUACUGUUGGCUUUCUGGAAGAGCUCCCCCAGCUCCACCUACCCAGGCACAGGUGGGAAUGAGGUCUGUGUUUCUGACAGAACACAAUCCCUUAAACUCAUUCCUUUCCUGUUCUGGAGAAUAUU